CUACGGGCUGCUCCAGUGGGGAAUAUUGCACAAUGGGCGCAAGCCUGAUGCAGCCAUGCCGCGUGUAUGAAGAAGGCCUUCGGGUUGUAAAGUACUUUCAGCGGGGAGGAAGGGAGUAAAGUUAAUACCUUUGCUCAUUGACGUUACCCGCAGAAGAAGCACCGGCUAACUCCGUGCCAGCAGCCGCGGUAAUACGGAGAGUGCAAGCGUUAAUCGGAAUUACUGGGCGUAAAGCGCACGCAGGCGGUUUGUUAAGUCAGAUGUGAAAUCCCCGGGCUCAACCUGGGAACUGCAUCUGAUACUGGCAAGCUUGAGUCUCGUAGAGGGGGGUAGAAUUCCAGGUGUAGCGGUGAAAUGCGUAGAGAUCUGGAGGAAUACCGGUGGCGAAGGCGGCCCCCUGGACGAAGACUGACGCUCAGGUGCGAAAGCGUGGGGAGCAAACAGGAUUAGAUACCCUCGUAGUC
rnacentral:rRNA from 1 species